rnacentral:rRNA from 1 species
CAGCGCCACGAGUGGGGGCCGCUUUUAUUGGGCCUAAAGCGUCCGUAGCUGGUCAGGUAAAUCUUCUGUGAAAUUGUCUGGCUUAACCAGACAGCGUGCAGGGGACACUGCCCGACUUGAGACCGAGAGGGGUCAGAAGUAUUCCUAGGGGAGCGGUAAAAUGCAAUAAUCCUGGGAAGACUACCUGUGGCGAAGGCGUCUGACUAGAACGGUUCUGACAGUGAGGGACGAAAGCCAGGGGAGCGAACCGGAUUAGAUACCCGAGUAGUCC